CAAAGGCUUGGUCCUGGCCUUACUGUCGGCUCUAGUUAAAAUUACACAUGCAAGUAUCCGCACCCCUGUGAGGAUUCCCGCAAUCUUCUGCCCGAAGACACGGAGUAGGCAUCAGGCACCCCCUCCCCGGGUAAAUUAGCCCAAGACGCCUUGUUUAGCCACACCCCCAAGGGUAGUCAGCAGUGAUAAACCUUAAGCCAUGAGCGAAAGCUCUACUCAGUUAGAACUAAGAGGGCCGGUAAAACUCGUGCCAGCCACCGCGGUUAUACGAGAGGCCCAAGUUGACAGACAGCGGCGUAAAGGGUGGUUAGGGAGACACAUCAACUAAAGCCGAAGGCCGUCAAGGCCGUGAUACGCCCCUUCGAUGGCACGAAGACCAACUACGAAAGUGGCUUUACUUAGCCUGACCCCACAAAAGCUGAAGGAACAAACUGGGAUUAGAUACCCCACUAUGCUCAGCCCUAAACAUUGAUCGAAUUUAACUUAUUCUAUCCGCCUGGGAAUUACGGACACUAGUCUAAAAACCAAAGGACUUGGCGGUGCUUUACAUCCACCUAGAGGAGCCUGUUCUGUAACCGAUAACCCCCGUUAAACCUCACCUCCCCUUGCCUUAUCCACCUAUAUACCGCCGCCGUCAGCUUACCCUGAGAAGGAGAAGUCGUAUGCAGAAUUGGCAUAGCCCAAAACGUCAGGUCGAGGUGUAGUGAAUGGGGGGGGAAGAAAUGGGCUACAUUUACUACGUCGAAGUAAAUACGGAUAUCUCGUUGAAACAUGAGAUUGA
rnacentral:rRNA from 1 species